AGCUUCUGUAGCUCCUCCCCUUCCUCCUCACUUCCUGCUUGCGACGCUUAAGAAGCAGAGCAGUACAAUGAGUCGCAGAAAAUGAGUUUAUGUGUCUUCUACUUCAUUUUCAGCAUCGGCUCCUACCCGCCGUGACGCUCGCUCCUUCGCUUUCUCCGGCUGCGUUGCUGGCUGUGACCAGCAGGUCUGCAGAGGGGAUGCCGGGGGGCAGCAAGCAGGACAAUCCUGUGGUGGUGCACAGCUGAGAAGUGAGGGAAACUGUUGGCGUGUACACAGAGUACGUGGUGGCAAACACUGCCGGGUUCCAGGAAACUACAGUGCUGGAGUCGCUACUGUACAUCACGUUCAAUGGUGGACACGGGACUGGAGAAAAAAAACAGAAACUGAGCGUUGUUAUCUUUGCAAAGGCAGAUUUUUCUAAGUGUAUACUGUACAUCAGUGGUUCUCAAAGUACCACCCUAGAAAACACUUGGCUCUCCAAGUACCACCAUAAUGACCACCAUUGAAAUACAGUAGCAUAGUAGGCUUAAAUAUUCAUCAAAAACAAGGCAGAUAUUUUAUUUAUCAAGUAUAUUUAAUUAUUGUGGCCACUGUAACAUUACACACAGUUUAAACAGUAACACUAUGUUUGAAUAUAGUAAAAUAAAACACUGUACUUUAAUAAUGAAUCAAAUGUUUGGCGUUGCUACUAGAUGGAGCUCGCGUACCACUAAUGCAGGGGUCGGCAACCUAGAAUGCUAAAAGAGCCAUAUUGGACCGAAAUACAAAAAUAAAUCUGUCUGGAGCCGCAUAUAAUUAAAAGUCUUAUAUAAGUGUUAUAAUGAAUACAACACAUUAUGUUAGUGUCUGUAUUAGUUAUAUUAGCCUACUAUCAAAAUGACUUUAAAAGUGUUAUAUAAGUGUUAUAAUGAAUACAACACAUGAUGUAAGUGUCUAUACUAACCAUAUUAGCCUAUUAUCAAAAUGACUUUAAAAGUCUUAUAUAAGUCUUAUAAUGAAGACAACACAUGAUGCAAGUGUCUAUAUUAGCAUACUAUCAAAAUUACUUUAAAAGUCUUAUAUAAGUGUUGUAAUGAAAGAAGACAUGAUGUGUUUAUAUUAGCCUAUUGUCAAAAUGACUUUAAAAGCCUUAUAUAAGUGUUACAAUGAAGACAACACAUUAUGUAAGUGUCUACAAACCCCGUUUCCAUAUGAGUUGGGAAAUUGUGUUAGAUGUAAAUAUAAACGGAAUACAAUGAUUUGCAAAUCAUUUUCAACCCAUAUGCUACAAAGACGACAUAUUUGAUGUUCAAACUGAUAAACAUUUUUUUGUUGUUGCAAAUAAUCAUUAACUGUAGAAUUUGAUGCCAGUAACAUGUGACAAAGAAGUUGGGAAAGGUGGCAAUAAAUACUGAUAAAGUUGAGAAAUUCUCAUCAAACACUUAUUUGGAACAUCCCACAGGUGUGCAGGCUAAUUGGGAACAGGAUGGUCCCAUGAUUGGGUAUAAAAGCAGCUUCAAUUAAAUGCUAAGUAAUUCACACACAAUUAUGGGGCGAGUUUAACCACUUUGUAAGCAAAUUGUAGAACAGUUGUAGAACAACAUUUCUCAACGAGCUAUUGCAAGGAAUUUAGGGAUUUUACCAUCUACGGUCCAUAAAAUCAUCAAAAGGUUGAGAGAAUCUGGAGAAAUCACUGCACAUAAGCGAUGAUAUUACGGACCGUUGAUCCCUCAGGCGGUACUGCAUCAAAAACAGACAUUGUGUAAAGGAUAUCACCACAUGGGCUCAGGAACACUUCAUAAAACCACUGUCAGUAACUACAGUUGGUUGCUAAAUCUGUAAGUGCAAGUUAAAACUCUGCUAUGCAAAGCCAAACCCAUUUAUCAACAACACCAAGGAACGCCGCUGGCUUCGCUGGGCCCGAGCUCAUCUAAGAAGGACUGAUGCAAAGUGGAAAGGUGUUCUGUGCUCUAACGUGUUCACAUUUCAAAAUAUAUUUGGAAACUGUGGACGUGGUGUCCUCCGGAACAAAGAGGAAAAUAACCAUCCGGAUUGUUAUAGGCGCAAAGUUCAAAAGCCAGCAUCUGUGAUGGUAUGGGGGUGCAUUAGUGCCCAAGGCAUGGGUAACUUACACAUCUGUGAAGGCACCAUUAAUGCUGAAUGGUCCAUACAGGUUUUGUAGCAACAUUGGUUGUCAACCAAGCAACGUUAUCAUGGACGCCACUGCUUAUUUCAGCAAGACAAUGCCAAGCCACGUGUUACAACAGCGUGGUUUCGUAGUAAAAGAGUGCGGCUACUUUCCUGGCCCGCCUGCAGUCCAGACCUGUCUCCCAUGGAAAAUGUGUGGCGCAUUAUGAAGCGUAAAAUACGACAAUGGAGACCCAGGACUGUUGAACGACUAAAGCUCUACAUAAAACAAGAAUGGGAAAGAAUUCCACUUUCAAAGCUUCAACAAUUAGUUUCCUCAGUUCUCAAACGUUUAUUGAGUGUUGUUAAAAGAAAAGGUGAUGUAACGCAGUGGUGAGCAUGCCCUUUCCCAACUACUUUGUCACGUGUUGCAGCCAUGAAAUUCUAAGUUAAUUAUUAUUUGCAAAGGAAAAAUAAAGUUUAUGAGUUUGAACAUCAAAUAUGUUGUCUUUGUAGUGCAUUCAACUGAAUAUGGGUUGAAAAGGAUUUGCAAAUCAUUGUGUUCUGUUUAUGUUUACAUCUAACACAAUUUCCCAACUCAUAUGGAAAUGGGGUUUGUAUAUUAGCCUACUAUCAAAAUGACUUUAAAAGUCGUAUACGAGUGUUAAAAUGAAUACAACACACAAUGUAAGUGUUUAUAUUAGCCUAAUAUCAAAAUUACUUUAAAAGCCUUAUAUACCUGUUAUAAUGAAGACGACACAUGAUGUGUCUAUUUUAGUUACACAUACACACCAGCCCCCAGACGCAUUUUUCUUUCUCAAUGUAUUUCCUGAGUCCAAAUAAUUGCCCAGGCAUGUUCUAUUGUAUUGUUUUUUAUACAAUAUUUACUGUCUAAAAGCUUGUUUUUAUUUUUAAUAGGCAUGUUACGUGCCACAUCCUUGAAUUAAUCUGUAUCUGUCCCUUGGUGGAAAAAAGUUUGGUUCUGAUUGUGUACCCAACGCGUGUGAGAUCUACCUGUUGUUCCGUUAAGAAGCCCGGAUCGGUCACUGCUUCCGGCCGCGUUUCUGCUCUCCAUGGUAGCCGAGUACCACGACCCGCAAGGAAGCGGGAUCUCAAAUGAAGUCCUGUUCGUCCAAUAGGACGACACCUCAAACUGGGCCUGGUCGUCUCCCAGUAGGUUACCUUCUAAAGCCAGCAUGUACUCCGUGUCGGCACAGCUUAUGUCCGUCCAAUUGAACCUCAGUAACUGGAUGUCUGCAUACAUGGUCAAAUGCUGCACCUCCACAACAGCUGGAGGACAAGGGGCUGAAAAGGAGGGAGACUUCAUAUUAGGGCUGUCAAAAGUAACAAGUUAACUCAUGUGAUUAAUCACAAAAAGCCUAUUGCAUUACUCAUGUACAGUACAGGCCAAAAGUUUAGACACACCUUUUCCUUCGAUGCAUUUUCUUUAUUUUAAUGACUAUUUACAUUGUAGAUUGUCACAUCAAAACUAUGAAUGAACACAUGUGGAGUUAUGGACGUCACAAAAAAAGGUGAAAUAAUAACAGUUCUAGUUUCUUCAAAAUAGCCACCCUUUGCUUUGAGUACUGCUUUUAACACCCUUGGCAUUCUCUCAAUGAGCUUCAAGCACAACUGUGAAGUGAAUUGAAACCCAUUUCAGGUGGCUACCUCUUUAAGCUCAUCGAGAGAAUGCCAAGAGUGUGGAAAGCAGUAAUCCGCGCAAAGGGUGGCUAUUUUGAAGAAACUAAAAUAUAAAACAUGUUUUCAAUAAUUUCACCUUUUUUUGUAUAAUACAUAACUCCACAUGUGUUCAUUCAUAGUUUUUGUGACAAUCUACAAUGUUAAUAGUCAUGAAAAUAAAGAAAAUUUGUUGAAUGAGGAGAAGGUGUGUCCAAACUUUUGGCUUGUACUGUAUAUACACAGAUAAACCACGCAAUUGAUCUUUUUGACAUUAACCGCGGAAGGUCGUUAUAUGGUCAAUGCCUAAUAGGUCAAAUAUGCAAAAGUGAACAUUUCGUUUCAAAAGACAGCCUGACUGGACCUUGGAUAAAACCAUUGCUGUUAAACCUCCAUCACUCAAGGCUUUUGAGUUUUUACAAGCUCCUUUUUAUGUCAUCCAGGCUAAUUUUGCGUUCCAAAAUUAGCACGGCUAAUUGCGAUUUCUGGUACUGUAUGUGAGUCAUGCACAAAUGGAUGGUAUAUGCUUGGCACAAUAUAAUGCAUUACAUGUAAUGAUUUUCUACUUAGUGUAUUGACAUGAUAGUAGGCUAUAUGAUUUAUGCGUAAUGGUUUGUACAGUCCUUUGAGACAUUUGUGAUUUAGGGCUAUAUAAAUAAACAUUGAUUGAUUGAUUGAUGUGUAACGUGGUUUUUGUAUAACGUGGGUUGGCUCAUAGAAUUGCACUCUGCACAGAAAGAUGGUGAUGUGCGUAC